CACGUAAGUAAUCUACCUUCGAGUGGGGAAUAACGUCCGGAAACGGACGCUAAUACCGCAUAAUGCAGCGGCAUCGCAAGAUGACAGUUGUUAAAGAUUUAUCGCUUGAAGAGGAGCUUGCGGCAGAUUAGCUAGUUGGUAAGGUAAUGGCUUACCAAGGCUACGAUCUGUAACCGGUCUAAGAGGACGGUCGGUCACACUGACACUGAAUAACGGGUCAGACUCCUACGGGAGGCAGCAGUCGGGAAUUUUGGGCAAUGGGCGAAAGCCUGACCCAGCAACGCCGCGUGAAGGAUGAAG
rnacentral:rRNA from 1 species